rnacentral:rRNA from 1 species
GGCAGCCGCGGUAAUUCCAGCUCCAAUAGCGUAUAUUAAAGUUGUUGCAGUUAAAAAGCUCGUAGUUGAAUUUCGGGAUUGACCCAUCGGUCGUGCCUUAAGGGGUAUGAACUGGUGUAGUCAAUUUCUCACCUUCUGGAGAACCGUGAUGUCCUUAAUUGGGUGCCACGAGGAACCAGGACCUUUACUUUGAAAAAAUUAGAGUGUUUAAAGCAGGCAUUUUUGCUUGAAUACAUUAGCAUGGAAUAAUAAAAUAGGACGGCAUGAUUCUAUUUUGUUGGUUUCUAGGAUCACCGUAAUGAUUAAUAGGGAUAGUUGGGGGCAUUAGUAUUCAAUUGUCAGAGGUGAAAUUCUUGGAUUUAUUGAAGACUAACUACUGCGAAAGCAUUUGCCAAGGAUGUUUUCAUUAAUCAAGAACGAAAGUUAGGGGAUCGAAGACGAUCAGAUACCGUCGUAGUCUUAACCAUAAACUAUGCCGACUAGGAAUCAGACGAUGUUAAUUUUUUUCAAAUGACUCGUU